UGGAUGACUCUCGACAACGGAUAUCUGGGCCCUCGCAUCGAUGAAGAACGUAGCGAAAUGCGAUACUUGGUGUGAAUUG
rnacentral:rRNA from 1 species